GAAGGCUCUAGGGUUGUAAAGCACUUUCAGUAGGGAGGAGGGCCAGAGUGUUAAUAGCGCUUUGGAUUGACGUUACCUACAGAAGCAGCACCGGCUAACUCCGUGCCAGCAGCCGCGGUAAUACGGAGGGUGCAAGCGUUAAUCGGAAUUACUGGGCGUAAAGCGCGCGUAGGUGGUUUGUUAAGUGUGAUGUGAAAGCCCAGGGCUCAACCUUGGAACUGCAUCACAUACUGGCAAGCUAGAGUACGGUAGAGGGGGGUAGAAUUCCAUGUGUAGCGGUGAAAUGCGUAGAGAUGUGGAGGAAUACCAGUGGCGAAGGCGGCCCCCUGGAUCGAUACUGACGCUGAGGUGCGAAAGCGUGUGGAGCACACAGGAUUAGAUACCCUGGUAGUCCACGCCGUAUACGAUGUCAACUAGCCGUUGGGAGGGUAGUCCUUUUAGUGUCGCAGCUGACGCUC
rnacentral:rRNA from 1 species